rnacentral:rRNA from 1 species
CCUACGGGUGGCAGCAGUAGGGAAUCUUUCACAAUGGGCGAAAGCCUGAAGGAGCAACGCCGCGUGCAGGAUGAAGGCCUUAGGGUUGUAAACUGCUUUUAUAAGCGAGGAAUAUGAUGGUAACUUAUGAAUAAGGAUCGGCUAACUACGUGCCAGCAGCCGCGGUCAUACGUAGGGUGCGAGCAUUAUUCGGAGUGACUGGGGGUAAAGAGUUGCGUAGGUGGGAUAAUAAGUAGCUAGGGAAAUCUGGUGGCUCAACCAACCAGUCUAUUAGCUAAACUGUUAAGCUCGUGGCCGUUAGAGGUAAGUGGAAGUACUAGUGUAGGGGUGAAAUCCGUAGAUAUUAGGAGGAACACCAAUUGCGUAGGCAGGUUACUGGGACGGUUCUGACGCUGAGGCACGAAAGCGUAGGGAGCAAACAGGAUUAGAUACCCCUGUAGUC